GAUACAUUUAAAGCAUAAAGGUAGUAAAGACAUCAUUAAAAUAGCCCAUGUGACAUCAGUGGUUCAAACUUAAUUUUAUGAAGCUACAAAAAUACUUUUUGUGCGCAUAGACAACAAAAAUUAUGAAAAAUAAUUUCUUCUCUUAAUUUUUUACAAUUUGUUGUCCAUUUAGUCAAUUUAGUUUUCAUGGUAUCAGUACUAAUUUAGUUAAUUUAAAUUCAUUUGUUUACUAGUGUCAGUUGAUUUGGCCUUCUAUCUUAGUUUUUUACAUCAAUUUGUUAAUUUUAGGUACAUUUUCUGUUAAUUUAGCUUUUUAAUUUUCAGUGGUGCUGAGCACGUUUAUGCACUAAUUCAUGUAAAUUAAAAUUGUUUAUUUGCAUAACUAAUUAAUAUUUUUUUUGAAUGCAUGUGUUUCUAUUUUGUUUUCGAUUCAGUUUAUUUUACAGAAGUUUUCACUGCAUUAUUGGGGUUUAUAAGGGCGUUUUUUGGAAGGGGGGGUCCUAUCUUUAUAGUUUUAGGUGGUGGUUGUUGUUUUAUUUUAUUUUAUUGAAAUUUUAGUAAUUUCAUGAUGCCAACUAGAUUUAAAGCUGGUGUGCUACAAAGGUUUUUUAUAUAUAUACAUAUAUACUUUCCAAUAUUAUAUAUUCAAUGUUUAACCUAUUAUUCUAUACAACAAUAUAUUUAAUAUAUUUAAUAUGCAUCUCCAUCCGUGUGUCAUUUUUGCAUAUAUCAUGUCUCAUCAUCUCAGUGCCAUUCUCAACUCUAUCUUGGUCUUAAUUCUUUCUCAGUCCCAUUUUUAUCCCAGUCUCAUCUCUAUCUCAACCCCAGUGCUGGACUCAUCUCUGUUUUUAGAAUUAAUUUAGAAACAAAAAAUACAAGAAAAAACUCCUUAAAUUAGAUUAAAUACAGCAUGCCUGUCUUUUAGGUCUGCUGAAUACAGGUAUUAUCUAAGUAACCUGCUCCUCCUCACUGCUUCAGCACAAAUCUCAGCUGUAAAUAGAUUCUCUGUUUUCCGGACUCCUCUGCACUGCUUACCCUGUGUGUUGAUUUCAAACACUGAUCUGAUCCAAUCUGCAGUCAGUACAAGCAGAGGGCAGUAGGACUCCUAGCAGCUGAUAACACAUCUCCCCUUGUUACCUCUGACCUGCACAGCUGCUUUAAAGCUUUAGUGGUGUGGCACACGGCUCCGGCUCUGUAAUGAUUUGGGCGCUAGGUAACAUUAUGAGAUCAGAGUGGUUUACUGUUACACUCACAUCACAUAAAACAGGAGAAACACGAUGGUCAGCCAGCCAUUGUUUAGUUUGACCCGUGUUGAUGAUCAGUGUGGUAAUCUGCUGGCAGAAUAGAGGAAAACUGGCAGAGCCGUCUUAUAGAAGGCCAGAGGCUGUGCAUAAACACACAAACUUAGUCAUCUCUGGCUUCUCCUAUCUCAUUAACAGCGGGUUUCUGGAGGUCCACAGCUCUCAGGCUGUUUAUGGGGUUUACAGCGAGGGCAAGAUUUGACGGAGCAGUACUAAAUGCAUAAAUCAAGCAUAUAAUAAAUGGCAAAUCUUGGAUAAAGUGUAGUCAAUCUGAGCGCCAGCACUAUGGGGAUAAAUGUAUCCCCAGAAGCUUGCUAAAUCGUAAAAAAAAAAAAUGAAUAUAUAUAUAUGAAAAUUAUAUUCUUUUACACACAAACACACACAUGUUUGUUUUUGUGAAAAGUGGGGACAUCCCAUAGGAGUGAUGGUUUUUAUACUGUACAAACUGUAUAUUCUAUGGCCCUUCACCAACCCUACCCCUAACCCUCACAGGAAACUUUGUACAUUUUUACUUUCUCAAAAAAACUCAUUCUGUAUGAUUUAUAAGCGUUUUGAAAAAUGGGGACAUGGGUUAUGUCCUCAUAAGUCAGCCUCUCCUUGUAAUAACUGUGUCGUACCCAUGUCAUUAUACAGAGUUGUGUCCUGAUAUGUCACAAAAACAAGAGCACACACACACACACAAACACACGAAUAUAUAAAAGUUUACUUUUAUGAAAAGGGUUGUAAUUUGAUUUACUCAAUAGUAAUUCGCUGUAUAUAAUAACUAUAGAUGACUGUAUUUUGUACCUACUGUAAGUUCGAUUGUACGAAAUAUAUUUGAGUGUAGAUGUCUCCAGGUUCGAUGUGCCUGCUGCAGGUAGCUGGUGAACUGAGCCGUGAUCAACGCAAGGUUUCUUGCAGGCCUGUGUGGACAGGAGGAGCCGCUGCUGGCCUUCAGGACUGGAAAGUAUGCGCUCUGUGGCCGCAGUCCCACCUCUCAGCCUGGGAACGGAAGCAGGGAGUUGCAAGGGAAAACAAGCAGACAAUCAGUGCCCUGGGCUUUGCAAUGGAUAGCUUUCCCCCACCCUCCUGCUCCGAACGGCAACCCCCACCCCCAGCGCUGAAACCCGGCCAGCCCCAGCUGUCUGUCCAGAUGUGGGAGAGAAGGAGAGGCAAGGUCCAACAAGGGAUGAGGGCCUGACACAGAAAAGGGCUCCAGAAAUAAUCGAGCAGAAAGAGAACCAAGACAGUGAAGAAGAUGGAGAGAUGUCAAGGGGAAGUCUGAAUUUGUUCCCAGGGUCUUUAAGAAAAAGGUGGACGAUAAAUGGAAAGUUGUCACAAAGGCUUAUAUUUAAUCUCCAGAUGGUUCCAAAUGAGAGGAUCAAUGACACCAGGCUAUGCCUACUUCGAAAAGUCAGCAUAAUCAAGUCUGAUCUCAUGAUCUCAGUGGACUGGAACAUGGCCUAUCCCAGAGAGUGCAGGCUUGGCAUAGUCGUAUCCAUUUAGUUGUUCAUGCUUGCCUGUGCAGGUCCUUCCAGGCCGGUCCUGAUUUAUGAACGGCCCCUGAGCUCUCACUCCAUCCUGGAGGGGCUCUCUGAUGGAGAAGAGAGGAUGUCCCAAACAGUUGGAAGGGAGCUUCAUCAGAGAAAAUAACUUUGCACCAAUCUUCUGCUGUCCAGUCCUUGUACUUCCUGCAGAAUUUGAGUCUGUCCCUCCAUUUUCUUGGAGAGAACUGGCUUCUUUGGUGCCCUUCUUGAUGCAGAACCUGAUUUUACCAAGUGAGACAUGUUCCUGGGACAACAUCUUUGUUGUCCCUGGAACAACAUUGUGAUUAAACAAUCAGAUUUGAAGAACCAGUUUAUAGGUUUUGUGAAGUUUAUGCUUAAAAUCACUGUUUGGUGCUUGUACGUCAGUGUCAUUCAUCUAUCAUUUCCUCUGAUUUUAGGGAUUACUCAUGGUUAAGGUUAGGUGUAGGUGUAGGGAUAUGGUCAAGAAUGCAUUUUUGAAGUAAAAUGUUGUUCCAGGGUCAACAAAAUAUUUUUAACUAGGAACACAUCUAACUCAGCAAAAUCAGGAAAUGCCUUCUUGACACCAGGCCAUUGUCCAAAAGUCUUGGCCUCACUAUGCAUACAAAUGCUCUUGCACCAACCUGCUGCCAUUCCUGAGUAAGCUGUGCACUGCUGGUGACUUGAUUCUGUAGCUGACUCCACAGGAGGAGACGGUCCUGGCGUUUGCUGGACACUCUGGGACAUCCUGAAGACUUCAUCGCUGCAGUAGAACCUCUCUCCUUGAAGUUCUUGAUGAUCUGGUAAAUGAUUCUUUCAGGUGCAUUAUUCUUUGUGGCAAUUUCCUUGCAUGAGAGUCCAUUUUGUUGCAAAGUUAUGAUGACUGCAUGUGUGUUUUUUUAAGGUAACAUUACUAACAAGAACAUAAUGAUUGGAAGUGCUUCUUCCAUCCUUUUAUACCAAUCAGUCUGCUCUUACAAUCUAUUUAGUAUGAUAAUUAUUUUACCUGACUAGUACUCAUUCCCACAUUCACAUGUGCUGCUGAAAUAAUUAUUCAAUUAAUGUUAGCUGGUCAUUUUGUGUCAGGAUUUAUCUUUAUUUUUAUUUUAUAUUUGUAAAAAGUUAAUUUUUGGCCAAUGAAGCUUUUGGCAGUUAUUUAAAAUGCACCUGGUCACUCUACACUAUAAUCUAUAAACAAUGUGAAUGAACACCACAACAGCUUAAGCAGCAAACUUUGCAAAACACAAAAUUAAUGUCACUGCCAAAACGUUUGGCCAUGACUAUACUCUAAACAUCUAUCUAAACAAGGAGAGAGGACGAGUUCUCCAUGAACUUGGUCUUAAUCCUACUGUAAUGAGUUGGGUCAUGUUACAUCUAGUGCCCGAGCCCCCCACAGAGCAUGACAUCACAGUACAAGAUAAGGCCGGGAAUGCGGCAGGUCCUGCCACACGCAGCAUGCGAGAUGCAACCCUCGACACGUACGACACACACCGUGCCGCCGGGAAACACAGGGACACAAGCGGCACGGGCUUGAUGGACAAACCAGACCGCCGCACACACAUGCACAUUCUUGCGAGAGGAAAAUGGUAACAGUCAGUCCUGUGCAGCAAAAUAGAACAUUGCACCUUCAUUGUUCUGGCCUCUGGACUCUGGCCUUGCUUCCUGACACCUUCCGUUUGGGCUCGCACACAGAUGGCCAUGGAUGUACAAGAACAAGUGCGCCCACUCCGCCUGUCCAGACCCAAAUAGAGAGGUAUAGACGAUCAUAUGUGGCCAAGGAGAGGUUAAGGACUUCUUGGUAACCUGGUGUGUGUGGUGCUAUUAAUGUAACACUGCCUGUAGCCUCAAAUUGUAUUAAUCCCUUUUUAUCCCAUGCAGGGAGCAUUCUAUAUCAGGAAAACUCAUGGAGACACUUAAUGCGUCUGUUUUUAUAUAAGUUUGUGAGGAGUCGCGGGGGUGUCACUGUCUGACAGGAUGCAUGGGUCAACUGUCUACGUGUGAGUGCAGCCGGGCCUGGGCCAGCAGGUCAGGGUUGGGCAGCCCACAGGAAACAGCCAAGACAUUCUGGCCCAGUGCAGGGGGACUUAACCCUUGAACUGCCAGCUUAGCUGUGGUCUUACUGUUGCCGGAACUGUGACUCCCAAACGAAUACUUCACCCCAAAAAAUAUAAUUCUGAUAAAAAAAUAAAUACAAAUGUUAAAUAUGUGUAUCUAAAUAUACUUCUGCAACACCAUAAUUACGUACCUUCCUGCACGUUUCAUGGCAGUUUCAAAGUGAAAUGUCCAGAGAGUGGCGCUAAAACACACGUUCAAUACGUCACUGUGGCACAUUUUUAUUACAUUGGUACAGGUAUUGCUGUGUUUUUAUUAAGCUGCUUGAGUUACCUAUUGUGGCUAAUGCUCUAUCGUGUUGGAAAUGUGCCCUACAUCAGUGGGGAAGUCGUGGACCAAUUGUUAGAGAUUCAGACUUGUAAUCCAAAGGUUGUGAGUCCGAGUCUUGGGCCGGCAGAAACAGUGACUGUACAGCACUCUCUCCACUCUCAAUACCACGACUGAGGGCACCGAACCCCCAACUGUGUGUUCACAGCUGUAUGUGUGCACUUUAGAUGGGUUAAAUGCAUAACACGAAUUCCAAGUACUUGGCUGUAUGUCACUUCACUUUCACUUUUUUACACCAUAUCCAACCCUAAAACCUACCCGAUAGUGUUAACAAAUGCAAAAGUGUUAAUAAAAACACAUUUGUUGAUGCAGCCGUGUUAUUUUAACUUCCUUGUGUGGAUUUGCGCUGUUUUGUCAAACCGGAGUUUCACAGUGUUCAUAUCGGGGCAAUGCUGUAUCGCGUGAGCUACCGAGCAAACCUACUGAAUUAGAAAACUCAUGCAAAUGAAGCUGUAUGUCACAACAAUAUUCAAAAGUAUCAGUUUUGAAAUUGUGCAGGAUUUUAAAAUAGUUUUGAAGUCAUAACAUAAUAUUCUGAAAGUAAUUGUGGGACAAUUAUGCUUUAUUAUUUAAAACUUUGAACCUGUAAAUCAUACUUUGUAUGAAAAGGAAUAAAAGAAUUUCAACUGGAAACUGAAGUGAUUCUUCCUAAUAUGCUAGAAAUCAUUCUAAUAUGCAAAUGGUUUUUCAGGAUUCUUGGAUGAAUAGAAAGUUCAAAAGAACAGUUCUAUUGUAAUUUAACAUCCUAGUCACCUCAAACCUUUGAACGGUAUUAUGCAAUAGCAUACUGUAGCAUUCAUGUAUCCAUAAUCACAGGAACAAACAAAAGUCCUCAUAGGAAUGUUUGGCAUUUUCUUUCUAAAUUUAGUCUCUUUUAGUGCUCCUCCUCACCCUGGGUGUGACAGUCCAGCCUUUCAGACUGGAAACAAUGUGGAGCAGCACCUUCAUCAUGUAACGAAGCACCUCUGUGUCUCCUGCCAUGAAGACUCCUUCUCCCUGCAACCGCCUUGCAGUAAGGAAGGGUCUAUAGUGUGCCUGUGGCCACGAGGACACUACGCACUGGAAUACGGGGACAGGAAAUGACUCUCAGAGUGUAGGAAUUCUGUGACGGCGGGGGUCUGAGGGAAAGGUUGACGUUUUCGGAAAGGCAGCUAUGUCGUGAUUUGCCAUUGACAGCAUGCAGAACACAUUUACGUUGUUCCGCUUAAUGGGUUUUUAAAAAUAGGUCACAGAUGAGUCACUCGCAUCAGUGGUGCAGGAUAGACGUCUGCUUACUUCCUGGUGCCACACAGAGGGCAUCGCUGCUCAAGACCCCCCUAGAUAGUGGGCUAAACUUAAGCAGGGCCCAUCCUGUUUUGGGAUUCUGCUGUAACCUUGAGCAUUUCGACUUUCCUGCAUCUCUUCAAAACAGUCAGCUGUUAUCAUUCCAGCAUCGUGUUUGUACCCCACACCACAAUGCUAGCUGGUCGCUCUGAUACUUUACCCUGCAUCUGUUUGUGUCUGAGGGAGACGUUCUUGACUGUAAAAUGUGUGCGUUGUCAUCCAUCUUAACAAUGGCUGCGUUCCAACUCUCAGCUUUAGCCAGUGAGGGCUUUCUUGGUUUCACAUCCCUCUUCAGCCAAACACAAACACACACGUCCGGCCAGCCUGACCCGAGCUAUCUCUCCUCCUGCAAGUGCCAGACGCACACACAUACACACACGCCCUGGACCCUCCAGCUCUUCCCACGUUCCUCCUCUCCCUCUUUCCUCUGUUCUUCUCUCUCUUCUCUGCUUGCGUUUCCUUCUCUCCCUUCCUCUGCCUCAGCACCCUUGUACAUCUCAUUGUCUCUGGUCUCUUCAUCUUUCUCCACUUCCUGUGUCUUGCACCCCGUGCCCUCUCACGCCCCCUCUUUCAAGCUCCCCCUGUUUCUCUCCACAUCUAUCUCUCUUCGCGACGUGACUUUUAGCACAGACAUUGGGGCUGUUGCCAGUAAUCUGGGGCAGAGAGAUGAGCGGACAAACGCACACACAUACAGACACAUGCAGAUAUAAUAGGGCACACUCUAAUGUUUCUUCAAUAAACACUCCAUAGGUAUUUUACAUCAGCU